rnacentral:tRNA from 2 species
CACAAGGGAUUUAAAAUCCCUCGACUUUCGAGUCGUGCCGGUUCAAGUCCGGCCCGGGGCACCA